GGGUUGUGAGGUUAAGCGACUAAGCGUACACGGUGGAUGCCCUGGCAGUCAGAGGCGAUGAAGGACGUGCUAAUCUGCGAUAAGCGCCGGUAAGGUGAUAUGAACCGUUAUAACCGGCGAUUUCCGAAUGGGGAAACCCAGUGUGAUUCGUCACACUAUCAUUAACUGAAUCCAUAGGUUAAUGAGGCGAACCGGGGGAACUGAAACAUCUAAGUACCCCGAGGAAAAGAAAUCAACCGAGAUUCCCCCAGUAGCGGCGAGCGAACGGGGAGGAGCCCAGAGCCUGAAUCAGCAUGUGUGUUAGUGGAAGCGUCUGGAAAGGCGCGCGAUACAGGGUGACAGCCCCGUACACAAAAGCGCAUGUGCUGUGAGCUCGAUGAGUAGGGCGGGACACGUGGUAUCCUGUCUGAAUAUGGGGGGACCAUCCUCCAAGGCUAAAUACUCCUGACUGACCGAUAGUGAACCAGUACCGUGAGGGAAAGGCGAAAAGAACCCCGGCGAGGGGAGUGAAAAAGAACCUGAAACCGU
rnacentral:rRNA from 29 species